rnacentral:snRNA from 2 species
AUACUUACCUGGACGGGGUCGACGGCUGAUCAAGAAGAGUUGUGGCCUAAGCUAGUGGUCCACAUUGCAUUUGGUGGAUGCGCUGGCUUACCAUCUCCCCAAGUGGGAGAGUGGACGUCAUAAUUUAUGGUAGAGGGGAUACGCGUUCGCGCGGCCCCUGC